GACGAACGCUGGCGGCGUGCUUAACACAUGCAAGUCGAACGGAAAGGCCCUGCUUUUGUGGGGUGCUCGAGUGGCGAACGGGUGAGUAACACGUGAGUAACCUGCCCUUGACUUUGGGAUAACUUCAGGAAACUGGGGCUAAUACCGGAUAGGAGCUCCUGCUGCAUGGUGGGGGUUGGAAAGUUUCGGCGGUUGGGGAUGGACUCGCGGCUUAUCAGCUUGUUGGUGGGGUAGUGGCUUACCAAGGCUUUGACGGGUAGCCGGCCUGAGAGGGUGACCGGCGACAUUGGGACUGGGAUACGGCCCGGACUCCGACGGGAGGCAGGAGGGGGGAAUAUUGCACGAUGGACGGAAGCCUGAUGCAGCAACGCCGCGUGGGGGAUGACGGCCUUCGGGUUGUAAACCGCUUUCGCCGGGGACGAAGCGGGAGUGACGGGAAUGGGUAAAGAAGCACCGGAUAACUACGUG
rnacentral:rRNA from 1 species